UUUGGUUGAUUGAACUCUAAUGUCGUCUUAAUUCUGUUAGCAAUUACUUUUGUAAAUAGCUUGUAGACAACGGACAGUAAGCUGAUGGGCCUGUAAUUUUUCAGGUCCUUGACGUCCCCUUUCUUAUGGAUCAGGAUGAUGUUGGCAUUCUUCCAAGAUUCUUCAGACUCAAAUAGAGCCGUGAGUCUGAGUGAGCCCGAGUCAGUAAUAUUUUGGCUUUGAUGUCAAGCUGCAGAGUUCGGAAGACGGGAACUUUUGGACAGUGUUAGCUGUGACACCUACUAUGAAACGAAUCCAGCAACUCGAUACAACAAGAGAGAUCAUUUUUGUUGACUCAACGUCAUCGUGCGACUCAAUGCACAGCACUGUGACAGUGAUGCUGGCCUCAACAAAAGCCGGUGCUGUACCAAUAGCUGUAUUGAUACACAACGCACAGUCGACUCAAGGCUACACCACUGCAUUCAGCCUCCUGAAGGAAAGCUACCCGCUCUGCUUUGGAGGACUCACAUGCUGCCAGACAUUCAUGACAGACAAUUCAACAGCAGAGAAAGCAGCC